GACAGAGGGUGCUAGCGUUGUUCGGAAUGACUGGGCGUAAAGGGCGCGUAGGCGGUUUUUCAAGUCAGAUGUGAAAGCCCCGGGCUUAACCUGGGAACUGCAUUUGAUACUGGAAGACUGGAGUACGAGAGAGGAAAGCGGAAUUCCUAGUGUAGAGGUGAAAUUCGUAGAUAUUAGGAGGAACACCAGAGGGGAAGGCGGCUUUCUGGCUCGUAACUGACGCUGAGGCGCGAAAGCGUGGGGAGCAAACAGG
rnacentral:rRNA from 1 species